UUAACCGGGCCGCGGGGAAGGGGGAGCCGGCAUGUUCCGCCUACCCGCUCUCGUCAUCGCAGCUGCGCGUUCGGAGCGGAACUUUCGGCGCUGCGCCUCUGGCGAAGGCGCCAAGCGGCGCCCGCGGCGGCGGGGAUGGCGCGGCCGGUCAGGAGAAACAAGAAAGUUGUUGAUUAUUCUCAGUUUGGGGAUUUGGAAGAUGAUGAUGAAGACUUUGCACCUUCAAGCAAAAAAUCUAGAACACAGCUCAAGGAAUCAAAGAAGGAGAAAAAAACGAAGUCAAAAAAGCCCAAAGAAGUGACUCCAUCACAGACACAGACACUUAGUAAGAGGUUAUCGUUGGACGAGAAACUUUAUAAAAGAGAUUUGGAAGUUGCCUUAGCCUUAUCUGUGAAAGAAAAAUCUGCAGAUCCUCAAAAAGUGCAAAAUUCAGAAAAACAAGGUAAGAAUAUUGAAUUAGAAAAUACACAGAGGAGACCCCCUUUUUCCAACUGCAGUGUAGACAGUGAACUUUUAGGUCUCAAUGAGGUUAUGGAUGAUGAGGCACCUGAGGGUGAUGGGAAGCAAAGGACAGCAGCAACCAAAGGUCCAGCACAUCACAAGUCACUGGUGGUUGACAGUGAUGACAGAGCCCAUGAUCCUGAUUCUGAGCGAGGGUCUGUACCCAUUUCACCUAUAGUUUCUCCUUCCCGGAUAUUGGAACACAACUCUGAGCCAAGGCAGAAGGUGAUGUCCAGUCCCUUGGAAGCAGCUGGGAGGCCUCUACAUGCAUCAAGUCCUGUCACAGACAAAAAGCCUAAAUGGACACCACCAGCUCCGUCAGGAAGCAGUAAUGCUUCUGUGAAAUGUGUUCCUGUUAAGUCACCUACUCACUGCCUAAGACUUGGCCUCUCCAGACUGGCAAGAGUCAAACCUCUCCAUCCCAGUGCUACCACAAGUUAAAUGGUCACUUUAAAUGUUGGUUGCAGUCUGGCAGAUAUUUUUGCCUGUGUAUGCUCUUACUGGAAGUCAGCAGCAUUAGUCAGGCUCAGACAAUGAGGAAUUGCCUUGGAGCUCUGGGGGCUUCAUUGAGGAUCAUGAUACCAUGCUAAGGAUUCAUUAAGCUGAAGAUUCCAAAGAGUUAUAAUCAGGACGUUCUUUCAGAAAUACGUUGUCAACCCCAUCCCAGCAUAAAGGGAAAGAUAAAACGGCCUUUAGACUUUUGGCUCAGGCGGGAACAAUGCUGGAGACGAUUUCGCGGAAUGCCGCGGGGGUACCUGCCAUCAGCAGGCAGCACAAAUCGCCCUGCCAGCAGCAGGACAGGGUUACUCCUAGCAAGUUAGGAAGAGCACAAACGACUCCCACGAAAAAGGUGGGGGGGGGGUCGUCGUCAUCACCCUCAGGGUCUCCACAGACACCUCUGCCAGUCCCACGAAAGCUGUCGGGGCGGGGGCGGAGGCAGGGCCCUGUGGGGCCGGGCCGGGCGGAGCGGAGCGCGGGACCGCGGGAGCCGCCGCGGCGGCAGCGGGAUGCGGCAGACGCGCGUUGAUGACGCAAACCCCAGAAGUGGAGCGGGGAAGGUUUUCUCCCGUCCCACGGGUGCGGGAGAUGCUCCCGCCGAGUGCGGGUGUUGGCACGGAGCCAGGGAGGCGAGCCCAGGCCGAGAGCCAGGCACAGCAAACACCAAACGACGUCGGAGCUGCGCGUGUCCGGGCGGGGUGGAGCUCGAAUGGCACCCGGGCAGCGCGAGUGUCAAUCCCGGGCUGGAGGGAGGCGUUCCCGAGGGCGCGGCUGCCCCAGAGCCGGUGCAGGCGGGGCGCGGCCAGGGCAGGGGCGUUCCUUUCCCCACCCCCGAGAUAGUGCAGGCUGAGCCUGUGCCAGAGCGGGCGGAGACGGGGCCUGGUCGGGGCAGAGACGGCCACACGCCCGUGGUGACACAGGCAGCACGGGGCCUGGUCAGGGCGGAGCGGUUCUCCAAGGCAACACCCUGUCACGGUUGCCAGGCAACCACAGCAGCCAGCGCAUCGCGGCGCUCCGAGCAGGCGUUUGGGGAAAAAAAAAGAGAUCAGGAAACUUCUUCAAGGACAAGAUGGGAAAUUUCUGAGAACCCUCACAGUGCUUUAUCCAGUUUUUUAACAGGGCAACUCCACAGAAAAUGCACCAGAUGUUAUGUGGGGCACUUCACCCAGCUCUUCCACAGGCCAGUUGCACAGAAGCGAUGGCAACAGCAUUUGCUACAGGGCCAUGCUUCAGAUGCAGAAGACAUGGACAUGUGGAAAAAGAACUAUCCAGAAUCUUCAUCUGAAAAGUGAGAAAGCAGCAAGUCUUUGCCCAAGAUGCAGAAAAAAAAAAAGAGAACCCCAUGCAAAUGAAUAUAAUUCCAAAUAUGAUAUAGAUAGAAAUCUUCUAUUGUGAAAAAUUAUUCCCAGGGAGACAAAGUGUCAUGUAAAGAUGAAAGUAUUAGUAAUGAUUCAAUUACCCAGGGUGUCUCAGAAGACAGAGCAUUUUGGAAGUGUCAAUCAGAUCCUGUUUGUGGAGUCAUCAAUUGAUUCCCUAGUGGUUCAGAGUUCUAGGGAUUGCUAGUAUUGAGUUUAUAACCUUUGUUAUUUUUGGUUUUGGUAAGGAAUGCUGAUAGUUGGUGAUUGUUGUUAAUGCUUUGGGCAGGUUGUCUUAACCCCUUCAAACACUUCUUGUUGAUGAGUUGAUUUUGUGUUGUGAGUUUUCAGAUUUUUGCGUUGAGAAUUGUUGUUGGGUGUGUUGUUGUAGCAUUUGCAGCCGGCUUUCAUGUGUUUUCCUAUCUCUUUGUGCGAUCACCUGCAAGUCACGUGUGUCUUCAGGAUCCUGGUUUUUAUUUCCUAACUACUAUAUUUCUGAGGUUUUUUUUAAUCCAGAUUGCCAGUCUUGGGUUCUUUUAAUUAUUAUUACAGAAGUAUUCCAGUAUAAAAUUCAAGAAGUUUGUGUGUUUGGGGGAUCUCUAUCCUGACAGAGACUUUGGAAGGGAUUCGGUUGUUAGAUGGUUCUAUUGGUUUGUAACCCUGAGGUUUCUUGUUUAUAACUGUUGUUUUUAAGAGUAUUGUUUAAAAAAUGUGUCAAGUGAUACCCACCAAUUAGAGUUUGGGCUCUCACCAAGUUCUAACUUUAUUUGGAUGGAGUGAUUGACAAUCAACCCAGAUGUUUUCUGCACAAAAAUAUUCAAGUCUUUUUGACUUGGCAAUUUGACCAUCUAUGAUGGCUGAGCCUAUUUUCAGAGGGAGUUUGGAGAAACAUGAAUCCAGACAUGAUUUCUCCAGUUUUCUGUUGUUUUAAGGUUUAUCAGCUGUUGCAGAAUCUGGGAUGACAGUUCAGUGUUGUAGUGUUUAGUAAUUGUAUAAUCUUGUAUGUGUUAUUGAUUAUGUGUAUUAUCUAAUUCAAUUCAUAAUUACUGUUAUCUUACAUUUCUCUAUGUAACAUUGCAAAAUGGAACCAGGACCCAUUCUUCACCUCCAGGAUUUUGAGAAAAUCCUUCAGCCCCUGUGGGGAUGUGGGAUUUGUUUGUGUUUUAGCAGGUGCAAAGUCCAGGUGAAUUUCAGUGAAGAAUGUAAAACUCUAUCAAGUGCAAGAAAACGCUGACCACUCCACAAGCAAAGAAGACACACAGUGUGGACUGCGCAGAGAUUCCAACCCUUGUGCUUCGCCCACAGAAGAUUGUGGACUUUGGGUUUCUUCAUGGGUGUGGGAAUCAGGGAUGUUGUAGAUUUUUUGUUAGAUGGUAGCUUUUUACAUUUUAGUGGGACUUCUGCUCCUUGUGCCAUGCAUUUUUCAGUGCAUGUGGCAAGCCUUGAAUAAGGCUGCCAAAGACCUGUUUUUGGUGCAAACAGAAGGGGGAGAUGUUGGAACCCAGGACAUCCCUCUGGGUGCCCUGGAUGGCUUGUGCCCCUGGUAGGGGCUUGGAGAUCCUGGCAGAGGCUCAGAGACCCUGGCAGGAAGCCAAAGACACUUGGGAUUUUGAUCUUAACCCAUGGAGCAAAUUACCAACUUUGUAUGAAGAAUUAGAAGUCACAAAAGUUUAAGUGGCAUAAUAGUAGUUGUCACAGGGUGGAAAGUAGAAUUUUGAAGUUUUCGAACGGGGGUUUGGAGUCCCAAGAUGGAGGAAUUUGGGCGUUCCCUGUCCUUCUUCCUUCUUCUUUCUAGCCUCCAUCUUCUUGGUCAUGGUGGCACAUUUAGAUUGGUCUAGAGUAGAAGUAGACAGUCUAACAUAGGUGAUAGGUAUUGGGAAAUAGCUGUAAUUAAAGUCCACAUAGUUUUCAGUAUAAAGAGAUAGCUCUGCCUCAGGGCAGUGCAGUGUGCCCUUGACAGACCUGCAGAUCAGACCUCUGCAGGUGUGAGAGAAAAUAUUUUAGAUAACAGAUAAUAAACAACCUUGUGAAUCAGA